AAGUCGUAACAAGGUUUCCGUAGGUGAACGGUCUUUGCAGGUUCGCCAGAAUUAAAAGUCUGCUGAGCAGGCAACAUCUCUACUGUGCUAGGAUUUACUGUUAAAGUAAUACCAGCAGCCUAGACGAGGCUCACAGAUCAAAUGGAGAUGGCCCUAAUGGGUUGAGAGUUGAUCGGGGGGUUGCUAUAAGUAGCAGCUAUACUUUCCGCUGCGGAAGGAUCAUUACCGAGAAAAUGCCCUUUAGGGUAUAUCUCCCACCCUUUGUUUACAAUACUAUUGUUGCUUUGGCAGGCCCGUCUU
rnacentral:misc_RNA from 1 species